GACGGAGGAUGCAAGCGUUAUCCGGAAUGAUUGGGCGUAAAGCGUCCGCAGGUGGCAGUUCAAGUCUGCUGUCAAAGACCGGGGCUUAACUUCGGAAAGGCAGUGGAAACUGAACAGCUAGAGUAUGGUAGGGGCAGAGGGAAUUCCUGGUGUAGCGGUGAAAUGCGUAGAGAUCAGGAGGAACACCAAUAGCGAAGGCAGCUCGCUGGGACGGUAUUGACGCUAAGGCGCGAAAGCGUGGGGAGCAAACAGG
rnacentral:rRNA from 1 species